rnacentral:ncRNA from 2 species
UACAGAGGGCGCAAGCGUUAUUCGGAUUCACUGGGCAUAAAGAGCACGUAGGCGGCUACGUAAGUCGGAUGUGAAAUCCCGCGGCUCAACCGCGGAAUGGCAUCCGAUACUGCGUGGCUCGAGGUCGGAAGGGGUAAGCGGAACUCCAGGUGGAACGGUGAAAUGUGUAGAUAUCUGGAGGAACACCGGUGGCGAAGGCGGCUUACUGGUCCGAAUCUGACGCUGAGGUGCGAAAGCUAGGGGAGCGAACGGG